rnacentral:rRNA from 1 species
GAUGAACGCUAGCUACAGGCUUAACACAUGCAAGUCGAGGGGUAACGAGAGGAAAGCUUGCUUUCCUUGUCGACGACCGACGCACGGGUGAGUAACGCGUAUCCAACCUGCCCCCAACUAAGGAAUAACCUUGCGAAAGUAAGACUAAUACCUUAUAAUUUCCUCAGAUGUCAUCUGACGAGGAAUAAAGAUUUAUCGGUUGUGGAUGGGGAUGCGUCUGAUUAGCUUGUUGGCGGGGUAACGGCCCACCAAGGCAACGCUCCGUAGGGGUUCUGAGAGGAAGGUCCCCCACAUGGGAACGGAGACACGGUCCAAACUCCUACGGGAGGCAGCAGUGAGGAAUAUUGGUCAAUGGGCGAAAGCCUGAACCAGCCAAGUAGCGUGCAGGAUGACGGCCCUAUGGGUUGUAAACUGCUUUUAUACAGGAAUAAAGUUAGCCACGUGUGGUUAUUUGUAGGUACUGUAUGAAUAAGGACCGGCUAAUUCCGUGCCAGCAGCCGCCGUAA